rnacentral:lncRNA from 1 species
UUACGUCAAAACGAUAUCCUAGAAGGACCAUAAAAUAUUUCUGCCUGAACAAUGCUCUUACAGCUCAAUUCCAUCCGCCCUAAAAGAAUGUGUGAUCUCAACUUUUCCAGAUCGAAUCAGCAUAGGGAUGAGACACGAAACAAAAUAGCGAGUUUCUUAUCUUAGAUAAGUGGGACUUGUUGUGGUAUAGAAUGCAUGUUUCGACCAACAGAACGGCUAUGAAAAUUUGACCUGUAUGGUGGAAACUUCGAAAAUUGUUGUUGCUUGCUAUGGAGCCCUGGAGCCGUAAAAUAUGUAUGAUGCAUCAGAGAGCCAUUGGGGAGGUUGUGGCGGCUUCAACAUCUUGCACUGGUUGAUUCAAUAAGAUGCAGUUUGCUGGUUCCGUAAUCAUAUCGGAGGAGACGGCGGCCAGAUUUUCGGUUGGAUCGAAACAGAGCGAGGACCCCUCUUGCGUACAUCAAAGCUUGUUGGAGACAACGCUCAGUUUUUUCUUGGAGGGAAACAAAGAGAGAGAAGAAAGGGAGGAUGACUCCUCAUGUAUACGUCAAAUCUAGGCGCUGAGAUUUUUUAGGAAAACAAAGAGAAACCAAGGGGAGGAGGACUCGUAAUGACAGUUCUUUUCAAAGAAAAGAAUGGAAACACAUGGGAGAAGUCACGUACGUGGGAUAUGACUCCACUUGGGUACGUCAAAGGUGGGCGCUCAGUUUUUUUACGCAAGAAAACUAAAUUAGGUCUGAAGCAUUAUAAGUUGGACCCACCAAAUCAAUGGCCUCUAUUUUUUAAUUUUUUUUGGACCCACCAAAUCAAUGGCCUAUAUUUUUUAGUUUUCUCUAAUUUACAUGGGAAAUUUCUAGGAAGUGCCUAAUUAGUAGAAGUAUAGAUAUAGAUAGAUAGAUAUAGAUAUAGAUAUAGAUAGGUAAAGAUAUAUAUAUAGAUAUAGAUAUAGAUAUAGAUAGAUAUAGAUAUAGAUAUAGAUAUAGAUAUAGAUAUAGAUAUAGAUAAAGAUAGAUAGAUUAGAUAGAUAUAGACAAGCACAUGUACGUAUGCAUCAUUUUUAAAAUGCACUACAUAUGUAUGCAAUACUGUACCAUCUAUUAGAUAUUUAGAUUUAGAUAUCAUUGAGCAAUUGAGUUUGUAAGUACAAUCAGGGUUGAUUUACUUUCACUAUACUCUGCCGCCAUUUUUGUCACAAGACUGACACGCUAUAUAUAUAUAUAUAUAUAUAUAUAUAUAUAUAUAUAUAUAUAUAUAUUUGAGUUUUCUUAAUAAUUUGAUUAUCUCAUGGCUCCACACAGAAGGGAACAACUGAU